rnacentral:lncRNA from 1 species
CUUUUUGGCUAGUAUAUAAACACCGGUCCCUGCUAACCCUAGACACGACAACUAAGGCCUCCCAUAGAGCAUUGUCAUAAAGCUAGGAGUUUACAGAAGAGUUGGUGUUUUCUGUUUGUCACGGCAAACAUAAAGAUUGGAGUUUUAUCGAUCACGUCUUACUUGCAUGGCUACUGCAUCUUCGAUAACUACCAUUGGAAUCAGGUCAGUCACUCCUUCGUUUGUGUUUUAAUUGUAUAACCAAUAAGGCUAACAAUUGGUAUCAGAGCCACUGGUUAUAUGAUUAAAAUCUAUUAGGGUUUAAUAUUGGAUUAUAUAAUAUUAUGCGUUUAAUCCAAGUUAUUACAUACACUCGGCAACAUCACCAUACUGUUUAAAUCAGUUUCAACAUAGCCUUUGCUUGCCAAUUGGAAAUUGGACUACGCUUAGAGGCUCUUUUGAUCAAGCAUGAAUUAAAUUAUAGAAUUGAAGAAUGAAAUUUAAAAAUCAUAUAGGAAUUGGAAUCCUAUAAUGAUAUAGGUUCGUAAAGAAUCAUAUAUGUAAGGCGUAGUAUUAAAGUAUUUUACAGUGGAAACUCUAUUAUUCUUUUAACUAGCAGCAAGUCGUUAAGUUUCCUUUGCUCCAAAUGUUAAAAGUUUUAAAUGGGAGGGUUCUAUGAUGAAUAGCUCAAAUUCAUGGGAAUCAGUGUGUUUGGAAAAGGUUGAAUUUUUACUGGAUAAGGUAAAUGUCUCGGACAACGUAUUGGAGGUUCUUUGCAACCUGCUCAGGUUCAGAAUUCCAACUCUGAACAAAGCAGCAACCAAAUAUAACAGGAAAUAAUCGCUUGUGUUGGAAAAUUGCAUGCGCUUGCAAUUUCUAAGACUAAUUAUAUACAAGGUUUACAUGUAAAAUUUUUAUCAUGACACUUGUAUUUUACGUGUGUUUGCUUGAUCAACAAAAGCCAAUUUGAUUAGUCAAAUAGAUUACCACCAAUAGUUCUGAUAAAGGAAUGACUAAGAAAGUUUGAUUAGCGUCAGUUUAUUGGAUUAACAACGAUUGAAAAUCAUGGAAUAUUUCAGAGUUUCUAUUUCAAUUUUCAUGCUAAUGUUUUGGUUGAUUUACCAUGUGCCACUGAUGAUCUCAAUUUUUGUAAGCAUGCUAUAUUUGUUCUGACCUUACUGAAGAGGCCCUACGAUUAGCAAGCAGAACGAAGUCAUCUACCAAAGCAAAAUGGUUUGUUUCAUUGACUUUUAAUUUCCAUGAUGGUUUAUGGUAUUUUGGUUGAUAUAUAUUCGGGUUGAUCCCUGAAAGCUUAAAUUGGUAAUAAGAUAAAGAUAUAAUUGCAUGAGUGAUGUGCUAAUUAUUGUAGAGUAUGUAAAUACAUUGAUUACCAUGUAUCGGUUAAGUAUGUCAUGAAUAUGGAUCCAAUUUUUAUAUAUUUUGGCAAUACGUAUCUAAAUGGGCAUAUGUUUAUUGAAUAAGAACUAAUAUUGUUUUCCAUGAAUUAUAUUCUAUAUGAAUUGCUACGGUGUGAUACGCUAAUGUGACAAGAAACAAUUGCAUAAGUGCCAGCAAUUGUUUGAUCAAGCAAGUAUACAUAAUUUUCUAAAACCAAUUAUGUAUCUAUAGUUCGCAUAGCAUGUAUAUGUAUUUACAUUUGUUCUAACCUUGCAUUGGAGAAUUUCUUAAGAUCCCUCAGUCGAACAAGCCCAAUGAAGAGGUUCGUACUACAUCGGUUAUGAAAUUCUAGUAUGAUCUUUCUUUUUGGUCUUCAUGAUAAAUUAUAUAAGGAAUGGUUAUGUUGGAUUCAUGAAGUGUUAUAUUGUUCUUGCAAAAUCCAACCAUGUCGUGACAUCUUUCUGAUUGUAGGAGACGAAAUUAGUCAUAUCCUAUAAUUUAUCAAUACUAUUCGGAUAUAUUGUGCCUAUGAUUGUGAUAACAUAUAUUAAAGUUAUGUUUCAGGGAUGCAUAUGUUAAGUUCUCCGCAUAUCAACUUUAUACAUGCUUGUCAAUGAAUAUAAUGUAUUUCUUAUACAUGAAGGUAAUUUUAAUAUAAAUUUUUUUUGGCAACAUAAUUAAGCAAAUGGCGUGUUGGUUCAAGCAUGCAGCAUGUAUGGGAUGAUGCAAUUUUAAACAUUGCCGUGAGCUUGGAAUGCGGUGCAUUAUAGUUUUUGGUUAAUCAUGUGAUUAUACAUAUGUUUAUAAAGAAGUAGUGAACAUAUGAAGGCAUGAGGUAUGUAUUUCAUUCAAAGUAUGUGACUAAAUUGAUAAGCAUGAAUUUUCAAACAUGUAUUAUUGUUUGUGGUUUUCCUAUACCUAAAGAAUUUAAACAGUGUUUUAAUUAGUAAAUUUUUAUGUGCCAUAAGGGGAGAAGAAAAGAAACUUUUCAAGGCUAAUAUAGGGCAUAUAUUGGAGAUAUUUUCUAUGGAAGAAAAUAAUUUUGGUUGUUCCUUUUAUUUAAUUUGGUAUUUACAAAGCUAAUGCAUGAUUUUAAUGCUCUAUGUUUAGUAGUUUUGUACUACAGAAAGAAAUAUAUAAAAGGAAAGGAACCCGUUUGAUUUGAGUGAUUUAGCUUUUAAAUUAAAGGAAUGUAUUGUUCUUUCCCAUUACAUAAAGUAUUUCUAUUAAGUAAUUGACUCCAUAAUGAUAAGUAUUGACAUUCUUGUGGUGGAAUAAAACUUGUUCUAUAUGUGAUUAAUCUCUUUCAAGUAUGCUGUCAGGUUUUGAGAUUAAUUUAAUGUCAAAGGGAGUCAUGAAGGAAUUAGUGCCAUUUGUUGGCUAGACUUGAAGCUCGAAUCAGGUUAUCAUAAUUUUGUCACUUACAAUUAAUUAAUUCAUGUGACAUCUUGUAUCGUUUCAGGGCGGAGUUGAUCAAUGCCAUUUCAACUAAGCAAGCCGCAAUGGCCUAGUUGACGAUGAGACUAUGUUUUUGAGUUACUUCGGUCAACUUUGCAUCUUAAUUAGAAUAAAAGGAAUAAUCUUCUUGCCUACAGGUGUGGAUUACUUCUUUUAGUUUAAUUAAGAUGGCAUAGUAUGGGUUUGAUUUCAUAGAAGUUGUGAAAACCUUCAUCUUGCCUAUAGGUGUUGAAGUUUUUCAUGAAGGGACUUUUGUGACAUAAAAUCUAGUACUAGAAACUAGUUAAUUUUCUUGCCUACAGGUGUAAAUUAAUUUAGUUUCAUGAAGUUUAUUGGGAUAAAGUUCCAUGCCAUUAGUGACAAAUAUUUCCACAAUGAGCCCCAUAAAAGGUUGUGGUUUGAAGGCAUGGAAAUCGGUUGCAUCAUGAUGUAUUUUGUAUCUCUUUAUGAGACUUGUUGAUGCAAAGUAUUGGACCCAUGAAGGUUAAUCAAUGAUUGCUAAGGUACGCAUUGUUUAAGUCUUAUGCUUGUAAAUCUUUUCAAUUUGAAUUAUGAUGUCGGUUUAGAGGAUGAAAUUUGACUACUAAAUUUUCCUUUGGACAUCGAAAUUGAAAUGAUGUGAAAUUGAAUUUGUUAUGGAUGCAUAAAUUCAUGAUAGAUGCACAUAAUUGUUUCUGGCAGAUUGCGUGUCUUGAUUUAAAUCGGGUGAAUGACACGUCUAAUGGUCACCAAAUGACCUGAAUUUUGGAUAUGUUCAACAUAUAAAUGUCUACUAUGUGUCUGCAAAUUUUCGUAAUUUUUUGCCAUGUAUGUUAAUUAUGGUGAAUUUACUAGUAACCCAUGCUCGUAUAGACAGUUUUUACUGGCAGAUUGUGAUGUUUUUUGAGACGUGACUUUAGACUACUAUUUUGACCUAAAAUGGCUUUGUAUUUCUAUUUUAUGAAGAUUAGUAUGUCUAUUUUGAUCAAUAUAAAUUUGGUAGCAAUCAAGCGUAUAAAUUAAUUAUGAUAAAUUCUAAAGUAAGUGUAACUCAUUGCUGAAAUUCUGUUUUGACAACUUUAUGUUGGUUGAGAUGUCUAUUUUAUUAUGUCUAAAAUAUAGAGAAAUUUUCUUUAGGUACAUCUUUGAAAGAGUGUUUGCCCAAGUGGGAGAAUUAGUGAACGAAAAUUGGGCUUCACACUCAUUAACUUAUUUGUAAGUAUAAACUCUGAAAACUUAGUGGGAGUUGUUCUAAAAUUUUGAGCACUAAGUGGACUUGCAUGAAUCUAUUAAAGCAUUAUUCUAUCUUCCAUGAAUUUGUGUUACUUGAAUGUCUAUAAUAUGUUUAAGUUGCACAAAUGAAUACUUGGUAUAUGCGUACAUUUUCUAUUACUUGCAAUCAUUUAGAUUUCUCGAUUGAUCAUAUUGUUUUGGGGCUCAUAAGGACUUAGCAUAAAUGUGGACUUAUUAAUACAUAUAAGAUGGUUGUUGGAUGCACAUUUUUUGUGUAAACAGCAGUGAAUGCUUUCAUGCUUAGUUGUACCUUUCAUUGGGGUAAUAUGCGUUCAUUGACUAAGUAAGGCUAUUCCCAAAGGCAGUAUGAUUUAAGUGACUUUUGAUUUGCAAAUUAAGUAACGAUGUUGCAGAUCAGUGGGAGUUUGAGUUUCGUGUUAGUAAUGCCUUACAUUUGCAGAUGACCUAUAAAGUAUGUAUAGAAUCCAUGUAUUCAUAUUAAUCUCCAGUUGGAUUCAUUAAGUCACAUUUUUCGUGUGCUAGUCAAUCAUCUGAUGAAAUAUAUAUCAGAUUUCAAGUUGUUAUCAAAUUGCAUAUUAAAUGUCAUGGCAUGGUUUGUGCACUACCUCAGUUGUGAGGAUUUCCAUCUUGCCCGCAGGUGUUGGAAAUCAUUAUGAAAGUAACUGGUAUGGUGUAUAGAUCAGUGUCAAAAACAUAUUAAUUCAUCUUGCUCACAAGUGUUGAAUUAAUUUUGUUUUAUGAAGUUUUGGGAUAUUUUACUUGGACAUGUGCCUAUUUGGUAUUUUCAGUUGUGUCCGUUGGUUACAAACAUUGUUUGUAUUGUUAUCGGUCUAAUGAAACUGAUGCAUGAUUGUUUUGGAGAUGUAUUCACACCUGCAGGUUAUGGUGGUUUCAUUAGAUGAAGGAUAUCUGCAUUGGCAGAUUUAAGGCUUCGAAGAAGCAUAAAGUGUAACUUGUGAGUUACAAUAAGGUGGACCUGAGAUGAUAUAAAGUAAGACAUUUUGGUUAAUUUAAAGUUUAAUUUUAAAGUUUCAUCUCUUGAUCAUAAUUUGUGUUUCAUGUGAAUGAGGAUCUUAGCAUGUGUGAUUAUGAAGGUUCUGGGUUGCGUCAACUCUACAACCUUGUUAGUUCCAUGUUAAGAAAUGCAUUUGACAGAAGCUGCAUUAAGGACGAGAUGUAAUCACAGUUACAUGGCCACUAAAGUAACAUUAAUCUCCAAUCUCAAGUAUAAACAUGAAAAUUACAUUUUGUAGACCAAGUGGAGAAUGUUGGAUUUAUCCAAUAUAAAUCAACCUUAAGUGGUCUACUACAUGUAAUAGGAAUGUAAUAUUGGAGAAUAAUGUUAAUUGUGAUUUAAUCUCUUAAAGAUAUUAAUUCUAUAUAAGGUGUCUUAUAUUGGAAAUAUGAUUGAUGGAAUCCUUAAUAAUAUAUGAUUAUGAUAUUUUACUUGAGAGCCAAGAAAGGAGAGUUUUAGUUUUCCCUUAUGGACGGAAUCUAAGACUUUUUGGCUAGUAUAUAAACACCGGUCCCUGCUAACCCUAGACACGACAACUAAGGCCUCCCAUAGAGCAUUGUCAUAAAGCUAGGAGUUUACAGAAGAGUUGGUGUUUUCUGUUUGUCACGGCAAACAUAAAGAUUGGAGUUUUAUCGAUCACGUCUUACUUGCAUGGCUACUGCAUCUUCGAUAACUACCAUUGGAAUCAGGUCAGUCACUCCUUCGUUUGUGUUUUAAUUGUAUAACCAAUAAGGCUAACAUUAAUAUCACCUACCCUCGUUUCGAUCCAAACAAAUUCUCCACCUUUUGCUCUAUGACUUCUUCCAACACCCUCUAUGUGUCCCAUAUGAGCUUCAACCUAAGGGAGCCUAUUAUGAGUAUGACAUAG